GACGAACGCUGGCGGCGUGCCUAACACAUGCAAGUCGAGCGAGGUCCAUCUAGUAGCAAUACUGGGGAAGACCUAGCGGCGAACGGGUGAGUAACACGUGAGAAACCUGCUCCGUAGUCUGGGAUAAGCCUGGGACACCGGGUCUAAUACCGGAUAGCCCCUCCGGAUCGCAUGGUCUGGAGAGGAAAGAAUUUCGCUUCGGGAGGGUCUCGCGGCCUAUCAGUUUGUUGGUGGGGUAACGGCCCACCAAGACAUCGACGGGUAGCUGGUCUGAGAGGACGAUCAGCCACACUGGGACUGGGACACGGUCCAGACUCCUACGGGAGGCAGCAGUGGGGAAUAUUGGACAAUGGGCGAAAGCCUGAUCCAGCAAUACCGCGUGAAUGAUGAAGGCCUUCGGGUUGUAAAAUUCUUUUAGUGGGGAAGAUAAUGACGGUACCCACAGAAAAAGCACCGGCUAACUUCGUGCCAGCCGCCGCCGUAACAC
rnacentral:rRNA from 1 species